rfam:Desulfuromonas acetoxidans DSM 684 ctg66, whole genome shotgun sequence.
AGUCAGGUCCCGCGCAACGGACGGUCGUGAACCCCGUCAGGCCCGGAAGGGAGCAGCGGUAACGAUUUAGUCGGUGUGCCGCGGGGGUGCCUGGCUGCC